AGAAUCAACGCUGGCGGCGUGCCUAACACAUGCAAGUCGCACGAGAAAGGGGACUUCGGUUCCUGAGUACAGUGGCGCACGGGUGAGUAACACGUGAAUAAUCUACCUCCGAGUGGGGAAUAACUGAGAGAAAUCUUAGCUAAUACCGCAUAACACUUACGAGUCAAAGCAGCAAUGCGCUUGGAGAGGAGUUCGCGGCAGAUUAGUUAGUUGGCGGGGUAAUGGCCCACCAAGACGAUGAUCUGUAUCCGGCCUGAGAGGGCGCACGGACACACUGGAACUGAAACACGGUCCAGACUCCUACGGGAGGCAGCAGUGGGGAAUUUUGCGCAAUGGGGGAAACCCUGACGCAGCAACGCCGCGUGGAGGAUGAAAUCCCUUGGGAUGUAAACUCCUUUCGAUAGGGAAGAUAAUGACGGUACCUAUAGAAGAAGCCCCGGCUAACUUCGCGCCAGCAGCCGC
rnacentral:rRNA from 1 species